GCUAGCCAGGAAGACAUGUAACCAUGUGUGGAAAAACAGGAAUUGGGGAGGGGCGAGGAAGAGGAAUUGGUCACCCGGCAGCAGGUGGUGGCUUAGACAAUCACAGGGGCUGAGGGGCUGGCUUCUCACUGCCAGGUCCUGGGCUGGGAAAAGAACUGAAGAACAGUUUGUUGACUGAGGAGCUGAAGGAUUAAGUGCAGAGCCACAUAUAUAUUUAAAGACCCUGUGGAAAAAAGUUAAUGAACAAAAAAGAAUUGGAAGAAGGUGAGAGAUUACCCGAGACAUCCAAAGGAUAAAAUGACUACUGGGCAUUUGGCUAAGCAGGGUAAAAUCCAAAAUGUCAUUGCCCAGAUCAAUGUCAUGGAGCUUGAGCUCAGGAGUUUGAGACCAGCCGGGGCAACAUGGACAACGUCUUAAAAAAAAAAAAAUUUAAAGCCGUGUGUGGUGGCAUAUGCCUUUAGUUCCAGCUACUCGGGAGGUUGAGGCAGGAGGAUCACUUGAGGCAGGGAGGUGGGGGCUGCAGUAAGCCAUGAUCAUGCCACUGCAUUCCAGUCUGGGUGACACAGACUGUCUCAAGAAAAAAAAAAUCAUGUCAUCUGCAAAUGGACAACUCAACGUUUUUCUUUCCAAUUUGGAUGUCUUUUGUUUCUGCUGCCUAGUUGUUCUAACACCUCCAGUACUAUACUGAAUUGAAGUGGUGAGAGGGCAUCCUUGUCUUGUUCUGGAUCUUCUUUCUCUGUUGAUGAUGAUGCUAGCUGUGGCUCUGUCAUAUGUGGCUUUUAUUGUGUAGUUGCACAUUCUUUAUAUACCUAAUUUGUUGAUAGUUUUCAUCACUAAUAGAUGUUGAAUCUGUCUAAUGCUUUUUUCUGCAUAUAUUUAAUGCUCAUGGAGUCAUACGGUUUGGAACUCUAUCUCUACCCAAAUCUCAUGUUCAACUAUAAUCCCCAGUGUUGGAGAUGGGGCCUCUUGGGAGGUGAUUGGGUCAUGGGGGCAGUUUCUCAUGGUUUAACACCAUCCCCCUUGGUGUUUCUGUGGCAAUAGCAAGUUAUCAUGAGAUCAUGUUUGAAAGUGUGUAGUGCCUACCCCCACCCCUCCUGCUCCAGCCAUGUGAUGUGCCAGUUUCCCCUUCGCCUUCCACCAUAAUUGAAGCUGAGCAGAUGCUGCCAUGCUUCCUGUACAACCUAUGGAACCAUGAGCCAAUUAAACCUCUUUUCUUUGGAAAU